CAGUUGCAAAUAUGGCUGAGUCAUGUUGAAAUAUUUCGCCCUACGAUCGUGGCAUCGAUGGCAUCCUCUCUACGAAGUCAGCGCCCUCUAUGUUUAGUUGCUCAAACUAGCAUCACGAUGAACGGACCGUUGAUGUUUGUCAACAGUCCCCCCAGUGUUUGUAAACAACACUUCAUUUGUCCGAUACGUCGAUAACUGCUAUUUUGACAGCUGGGCGCUCGAGCACUUUACCGGAUGCUGUCUGCACGUGCACCCGCCGUACUUGACCGUCAUUUGAUUCGAUCACCUUUACAAUGCGUCCUUUCGGCCAGCAUCCACGGGGAAGAGUCUCGUCGAUUAUUAGUGCGAUGUCACCCUCUGCGAUUGGUUUCACCGGUGCGUGCCACUUUGUGCGCCGUGUUAAAGUGGGCAGGUAGCUGGCCAACCACUUUCGCCAGAAUACGUCAGCGUAUAUUUGUGAUGUUUUCCAAGUGUUUUUUAACAUUUCGGGCGAGGGGUCCACUGUGGUGAUCGGUUUGGCACCGGAUGAUGAGCCCACAAGAAAGUGAUUUGGUGUCAAAGGGGCGUCUUCUUCGCGAUCAACCGGAACAUCAGUCAAUGGGCGUGAAUUUAUGAUAAACUCAACUUCGAUCAACCAACUGUUGAAUACGGCAUCGGUCGGAUACUUAGUGAACUGAAUGUUCGUUAACGUUCUUUUUAUCGACCGAACGAGCCGCUCCCAUGCUCCUCCGAAAUGCGGAGCCGCUGGAGGGUUAAACGUCCACUUGGUGCUGGUAAGGCUAAUUCCAUCGACGAUCUUAUCAACAUAUAUUUCUUUUAGGGCUUCCUGAAGUUCGCGGCUCGCGCCUACAAAAUUGGUUCCUCUAUCGGAUAUGAUUUCGUUGGGUACGCCCCGGCGAGCUAUAAAAUUUCGCAGUGCUAAUAUACAAGAGCUUGUUGAUAAUGUGUGGGCCACUUCAAUAUGCACUGCGCGUAUCGUUAAACAGAAAUAGAGGUAAUGGACGAGGCUAUUGCCCCAUUUCCUGCUCCACCGUCACCGCUACCAUCACCGUCCUACAGUGCCUCGCCGCUUCCAGGACCUUAUGAUGGUGGGUCGCCGGUACCUGGACCAUCCCGUGGUAGGUCGAACUACUCGGGACCAUACGAUGGUGGGACCGCCGGUAGCUGGACCGUCCUGUGGUAGGACGCAGCGCACAGGAAGGUCACGUACUACGUCACCGAGGUCCCGAUCGCCUUCACGCUACCCUACUCCUCCUCGCCCAACAACUCCACCAGCUCGAACGUUACGUAAUAGGCAAAGACGUUGGCAAGAGGCCAACUUAGCCUAUAAUGAGGAUGUGUUGCAGGUGAUCAAAACGAUUGGACCGGCAACGAACAAUCUAAUCGAUCGUUUGAAUGCACCAUCCGAUGACAUAGAUUCGAUAUGCAGCAUCGUUCGUAGUUGGUCGCCUGAUCGGCGAGAGGAGUUUACUGCGACGAUGUUGAGUAGGGUAGUAGAGAUUCAGCAGGAGAGAUUUGAGGCUCGUCAAGGGCGCCGAGCACAAUAAAGGCAAAGAUCUCUUAUAAUGCUACCAAGAUGCAAACGGUCUGGACGUAUUUGAGCGACGCAUCAUCUAGAGGAGAAGAAUGAACCACGACCAUCCUGACGAUGGCGAAGGCUGGAAUUAUACGCAUGUGGGCAUGUGAAGAGAAUGCCGGACUCAUGCCUCACCAAGAAAGUCUUCGACAGCGACCCCCUGCUUAGCACGAGGCGCAGGUGUGCACUGCAUACUGGAUGGCUACAUUAAGUGAAGCGAGACCUGACGGAGAUCAGGUGUCUGCAUGGAAGGCUGCAGCCAGGGACCGAGGAUCCUGGAGAA